UAGGGAAUAUUGCAAAAUGGGCGAAAGCCCGAUGCAGCAACGCCGCAUGGGCGAUGAAGGCCUUCGGGUCGUAAAGCCCUUUUUGAGGGGAUGAGGAAGGACAGUACCCUCAGAAUAAGCCUCGGCUAACUACGUGCAAGCAGCCGCGGUAAAACGUAGGAGGCGAGCGUUAUCCGGAUUUACUGGGCGUAAAGCGCGUGCAGGCGGAUUGGAGAGUUGGAUGUGAAAGCUCCCGGCUUAACUGGGAGAGGUCGUUCAAUACUUCCAGUCUUGAGUGCAGUAGAGGGAAGUGGAAUUCCGGGUGUAGUGGUGAAAUGCGUAGAUAUCCGGAGGAACACCAGUGGCGAAAGCGGCUUCCUGGACUGUAACUGACGCUCAGACGCGAAAGCUAGGGUAGCAAACG
rnacentral:rRNA from 1 species